rnacentral:rRNA from 1 species
AUGUCUGCCACCAUCGCAACGCCGACGCCCCUCCAACUCCAAAUCCGUGUGGCACCAGAUGCCCCGCGAACACGGUGGCGCGCGACCACCUGCAGGGCGAGGCCGGCGUCGUUGCCGGACGCGCAGGUGGUGACGGGAAGGAAAGGGGUGAGUGAGUACGUGGAGGCGGCGCAACAGCUGACGCGGUGGCCUGACGGCGGGCCUCCCAGGUGGUUCUCGCCGCUCGAGUGCGGAGGCGCCGGCGGGCGCAUCUCCGGCGCUCCGACGCUGCUUUACCUGCCCGGAAUUGAUGGAGUUGGUUUAGGUCUGAUCCGGCACCAUGAGGCGUUAGCAAAGAUCUUCGUUCUAUGGUGCUUGCAUAUACCCGUCAAAGACCGAACAUCCUUCGAAGGACUAGUUGAGUAUGUUGAGAGGACAGUCAAAUUAGAGAGCUCAAGGGCACCAGACAGACCAGUUUAUCUUGUUGGAGAAUCUAUUGGGGCAUGCAUUGCUCUCGCCGUGGCGGCACGAAACAGAGACACUGACUUGGUGCUGAUCCUAGUCAACCCAGGGACAUCUUUCCAUAAGUCAAAAUUACAGUCUCUCUCGGCCUUCUUAGAUUUGAUCCCUGAGCCUUUCCAUUUGAACAGCCCAGAGUUCUUGAAUUUCCUCACAGAGAACUUCAUGCAGAUGCUGUUAACUUUUAUUGGACGUGGUACCUAUCUUGAAGAAGGUGGUCAAGCAUUGUCAGAGUUUCUAGUUGAUGUUCUGCCACGUGAAACAAUUGUUUGGAAGUUGCAAAUGUUGAGAAUAGCGUCAUCAUUUGUCAAUUCUCGUUUACAUGCAGUAAGAGCCCAAACUUUGGUGCUUGCUAGUGGGUACGAUGUACUGCUGCCAAGCCGCGAAGAGGCUCAAAGGCUCCAAAGCAUGCUUGAGAACUGUAGAGUUCGUCAUUUCAGGGAUAAUGGCCACACAAUUUUGUUGGAGGGGGGAUUUGAUAUAGUGACCACCAUUAAAGGAGCCGGAUACUAUCGCCGCUCUAGCCAGACGGACUUCAUUGCGGAUUAUCUGCCGCCGACUCCCAGUGAGCUCAAAAAAAUUCUUGAUUCUUUCGGGAUCUUAAAUUUUGCCAACUUGGUGAUGCUGUCAACACUGCCUGAUGGGAAGAUAGUGAGGGGACUUGCAGGCCUACCUGAGGAGGGUCCUGUUGUGCUUGUUGGAUACCACAUGCUCAUGGCACUUGAAUUGGUACCUCUGGUUGCAGGAGUGCUCAGUAGCACUGGAAUCAACUUGCGAGGCUUAGGCCACCCCUUCUUGUUCAACAAGUAUUCAGAGCAGCUCUUGCCAGAGUCGUCUCUCUUUGAUGUUUGUCGGAUCUUGGGUGCUGUGCCCGUUACAACAUUCAAUUUUUACAAGCUUCUUUCUGAGAAGCACUUUGUGUUGCUAUACCCAGGAGGUGCACGUGAAGUUCUUCAUAGGAAGGGAGAGGAAUACAAGUUGUUUUGGCCGGAGCAGCCUGAAUUUGUGAGGAUGGCGUCGAGGUUCGGAGCAAAAAUAAUACCAUUUGGAGUCGUUGGAGAAGAUGAUAUAUGUGACGUGCUGUUAGACUACAAUGAUCUUCUGAAGCUUCCAUUUUAUGACAUCAUGGACAAGAAGCUAAAUAAAGAUAGUGUGAAGCUCAGGGCUGAUUGUACUGGAGAGAUACAAAAUCAGCCAAUUCAUCCGAUGGUGGUUUUGCCAAAAGUACCAGGGAGGUUUUAUUUCAUCUUUGGGAAGCCUAUUGAAACAAGAGGGAGGGAGAUGGAGCUAACAGAAAAAGAGAACGCCCAACACAUGUAUUUGCAUGUCAAAUCUGAAGUGGAGAACUGCAUCAAGUAUCUGAAGGAGAAACGAGAAGAGGACCCCUACAGGAGCAUACUACCCAGGCUUCUCUACCAGGCGGUUCAUGGUCAUAAUGCAGAGAUACCCACAUUUGAAUUGUGA